GGGGUUGUGGCUCAGUGGUAGAGUGCUUGUCUAGCAUGUGCAAGGCCCUGAGUUUGAUCCUCAGCACCACA
rnacentral:tRNA from 1 species